UACAGAGGUCUCAAGCGUUGUUCGGAUUCAUUGGGCGUAAAGGGUGCGUAGGCGGCGCGGUAAGUCGGGUGUGAAAUCUCGGAGCUUAACUCCGAAACUGCAUUCGAUACUGCCGUGCUUGAGGACUGGAGAGGAGACUGGAAUUUACGGUGUAGCGGUGAAAUGCGUAGAUAUCGUAAGGAAGACCAGUGGCGAAGGCGGGUCUCUGGACAACAACUGACGCUGAGGAGCGAAAGCGUGGGGAGCGAACAGG
rnacentral:rRNA from 1 species